UGUAGGUAGAGAGAGAGAGAGAGAGAGAGAGAGAGAGAGAGAGAGAGAGAGAGAGAGAGAGAGAGAGAGAGAGAGAGAGAGAGAGAGAGAGAGAGAGAGAGAGAGAGAGAGAGAGAGAGAGAGAGAGAGAGAGAGAGAGAGAGAGAGAGAGAGAGAGAGAGAGAGAGAGAGAGAGAGAGAGAGAGAGAGAGAGAGAGAGAGAGAGAGGAAGAGAGAGAGAGAGAGAGAGAGAUGUAGGUAGAGAGAGAGAGAGAGAGAGAGGAAGAGAGAGAGGUACAGAGAGAGAGAGGAAGAGAGAGAGAGAGAUGUAGGUAGAGAGAGAGAGGGAGAGACUGCAUUAGCUCUACUUACCUUUGUCAUCGCCCAGUGCUGGAGGGGACUCCUCUCCUCCCUGCCAGAGUCUGCAUAGUAACAGCAGGCUAACAGGGGAUGCAUGCUGUAACCUUUUAGAUAGCAGACCUCUUUUCUGCAUUUUUUUCGUACAUGUCCUCUCUGGAGCACAACAUUUUGUACAUCAUGUGUUAGCUACAUACGCCACAAAUAGACAACACACACACGAGCACACACGAUUACACACACACACACGUAACCAUCACAUGAACAAAUGCGGUGUGGAAAAUAGCUUGUCAGAAACAGAAAGAGAGAGGUGAAAAAGAGAGAGAGAGAGAGAGUGGUGAAAAAGAGAGAGAAAGAGAGAGGUGAAAAAGAGAGAGAGAGAGAGAGAGUGGUGAAAAAGAGAGAGAAGAGAGAGGUGAAAAAGAGAGAAAGAGAGAGAGGUGAAAAAGAGAGAGAAGGAGAGAGGUGAAAAAGAGAGAGAAAGAGAGAGAGGUGAAAAAGAGAGAGAAAGAGAGAGAGGUAAA